CCCUGCUACGAGUUCUAUGCCAACUCCGAAUCGGCAAGGCCCCAGUGCACUUCAGCUGGGUCAUAGGAGUCAUGUUGCUGUAUGCUCAAUAUCUGGGGCAUCAUUCUCUACCUGCAGCUGCCUUGGAUCGCUGCUCAGGCAGGCACAGGUUCAUCAUCCUGUUCUUGGCCUCAGUCAUACUGUCACUGGAUUGUCUAUCUCAGCCAUCUCCAGCAACGGCAAAAUCAAGGCUGGUUGGGAGCCGCCUGGGCGCAAAGUGCCAGUAUGGCUGGGAUUUCAGCAGUUGUCGAGAGCAAGGGUCCUGCCUCUGUGGGCUCUCUAAUCACUAUGAGCAUGAACAUGGUGUCUGCCUUUAGCCCUCUGAUGUCUGCUGGAAUCUUGAGAGCCAUUCUGUUCUGUACCCUUUCCUGCUUUGUUUCAGCCCCUAAUAUCUUCCAGGCUGUGCCAGGAUAAACCAUACACAAUCACUGGCUUUUUUGGGGGGAAAGGCCAUGGCAAGAACCACGAGCCUCUGUGGGGCUAUCUGCUCACCUUCCUCACUGCUGUAGGUUUCAUCCUUAUCGGUGACUACUCCCCAUUGCCCCCACCAUCGCCAACUUCCUCCUCUGUUCCUGUGCCCUCAACUUUGGCUGUCUCUACGCCUCCCUUACCCCCUGCAGGCUGGCGCCUUUCCUUCUGCAGGUAAAGUCCCUGGGUCUCUCUCCUGGGCUCUCUGCUCUGCCUGCUCAUCACAUUCCUCCUCACAUGGCGGGCAACACUGAUUACUGUGUUGCUUACCCUUCUGCUGUUAUAUGAACUGGGGCUCUUCAGCCCAGGCAGACACCUACCAAAUGGCGCUGUCCUACUCAGUGAGCCUCACCAAUGUGUAAGAUCACAUUAAGAACUUCCAG
rnacentral:lncRNA from 1 species